rnacentral:rRNA from 1 species
AGAACUUAGCAGAGAUGCUUUGGUGCCUUCGGGAACUCUGAGACAGGUGCUGCAUGGCUGUCGUCAGCUCGUGUUGCGAAAUGUUGGGUUAAGUCCCGCAACGAGCGCAACCCUUAUCCUUUGUUGCCAGCGGUCCGGCCGGGAAACUCAAAGGAGACUGCCAGUGAUAAACUGGAGGAAGGUGGGGAUGACGUCAAGUCAUCAUGGCCCUUACGAGUAGGGCUACACACGUGCUACAAUGGCGCAUACAAAGAGAAGCGACCUCGCGAGAGCAAGCGGACCUCAUAAAGUGCGUCGUAGUCCGGAUUGGAGUCUGCAACUCGACUCCAUGAAGUCGGAAUCGCUAGUAAUCGUGGAUCAGAAUGCCACGGUGAAUACGUUCCCGGGCCUUGUACACACCGCCCGUCACACCAUGGGAGUGGGUUGCAAAAGAAGUAGGUAGCUUAACCUUCGGGAGGGCGCUUACCACUUUGUGAUUCAUGACUGGGGUGAAGUCGUAACAAGGUAGGCGUAGUGCU